AUGCAAUCCUUUGCUUGGUGUCUCCUGU
rnacentral:sRNA from 1 species